UACGGAGGGUGCAAGCGUUAUCCGGAUUCACUGGGUUUAAAGGGUGCGUAGGUGGGCUGGUAAGUCAGUGGUGAAAUCCCCGAGCUUAACUUGGGAACUGCCAUUGAUACUAUCAGUCUUGAAUACCGUGGAGGUCAGCGGAAUAUGUCAUGUAGCGGUGAAAUGCUUAGAUAUGACAUAGAACACCAAUUGCGAAGGCAGCUGGCUACUCGGAUAUUGACACUGAGGCACGAAAGCGUGGGGAUCAAACAGG
rnacentral:rRNA from 1 species